ensembl:snRNA U6 U6 spliceosomal RNA
GUGCUGCUUGCUUCAGCAACACAUAUUCUAAAUUUGGAAACAAUAUAGAGAAGAUUAGCAUGGCCCCUGUAUAAGGAUGACACACAAAUUUGUGAAGUGUUCCAUAUAAUU